rnacentral:rRNA from 1 species
GAUGAACGCUGGCGGCGUGCCUAAUACAUGCAAGUCGAGCGAACGGACGAGAAGCUUGCUUCUCUGAUGUUAGCGGCGGACGGGUGAGUAACACGUGGAUAACCUACCUAUAAGACUGGGAUAACUUCGGGAAACCGGAGCUAAUACCGGAUAAUAUUUUGAACCGCAUGGUUCAAAAGUGAAAGACGGUCUUGCUGUCACUUAUAGAUGGAUCCGCGCUGCAUUAGCUAGUUGGUAAGGUAACGGCUUACCAAGGCAACGAUGCAUAGCCGACCUGAGAGGGUGUUCGGCCACACGGGAACUGAGACACGGUCCAGGCUCCUACGGGAGGCAGCAGUAGGGAAUCUUCCGCAAUGGGCGAAAGCCUGACGGAGCAACGCCGCGUGAGUGAUGAAGGUCUUCGGAUCGUAAAACUCUGUUAUUAGGGAAGAACAUAUGUGUAAGUAACUGUGCACAUCUUGACGGUACCUAAUCAGAAAGCCACGGCUAACUACGUG